rnacentral:sRNA from 1 species
UGAACAGGUAGUGUAAAGGUAAAAUUGC